CAGUCGCCGCGGUAAUACGAAGGGGGCUAGCGUUGUUCGGAAUCACUGGGCGUAAAGCGCACGUAGGCGGACUUUUAAGUCAGGGGUGAAAUCCCAAGGCUCAACCUUGGAACUGCCUUUGAUACUGGAAGUCUUGAGCUCGGGAGAGGUGAGUGGAAUUCCGAGUGUAGAGGUGAAAUUCGUAGAUAUUCGGAAGAACACCAGUGGCGGAGGCGGCUCACUGGCUCAUACUGGACGCUGAGGUGCGAAAGCGUGGGGAGCAAACAGGAUUAGAUACCCCCGUAGUCCCUGUCUCUUAUAC
rnacentral:rRNA from 1 species